UACGGGGGGGGCAAGCGUUGUUCGGAAUUACUGGGCGUAAAGGGCUCGUAGGUGGCCAACUAAGUCAGACGUGAAAUCCCUCGGCUUAACCGGGGAACUGCGUCUGAUACUGGAUGGCUAGAGUUUGGGAGAGGGAUGCGGAAUUCCAGGUGUAGCGGUGAAAUGCGUAGAUAUCUGGAGGAACACCGGUGGCGAAGGCGGCAUCCUGGACCAACACUGACGCUGAGGAGCGAAAGCCAGGGGAGCAAACGGGG
rnacentral:rRNA from 1 species